rnacentral:rRNA from 1 species
GGGCCCGCACAAGCGGUGGAGUAUGUGGUUUAAUUCGAUGCAACGCGAAGAACCUUACCAGGGUUUGACAUCCUGCGAAUCUCUUGGAAACAGGAGAGUGCCUUCGGGAACGCAGUGACAGGUGGUGCAUGGCUGUCGUCAGCUCGUGUCGUGAGAUGUUGGGUUAAGUCCCGCAACGAGCGCAACCCACGUCUUUAGUUGCCAGCAUUUAGUUGGGCACUCUAGAGAGACUGCCGGUGAUAAACCGGAGAAGGUGUGGAUGACGUCAAGUCAUCAUGCCCCUUACAUCUGGGCUACACACGUGCUACAUGGCGUAUACAAAGGGUAGCGAACCAGUGAUGGUAAGCCAAUCUCUAAAGUACGUCUC